CUCUGAUCCCUAGCCCUGGUUAAAAAUAAAUCUCCCAUCCCUAGUGCUGGUUAAAAAUAAAUCUCUGAUCCCUAGUCCUGGUUAAAAAUAAAUAUCCGAUCCCUAGUCCUGGUUAAAAACAAAUCUCAGAUCCCUAGUCCUGGUUAAAAACAAAUCUCAGAUCCCUAGUCCAUGUUAAAAAUAAAUCUCCGAUCUCUAGUCCUGGUUAAAAAUAAAUCUCUGAUGCCUAGUCCUGGCUAAAAAUAAAUCUCCCAUCCCUCCAAUCCCUAGGCCUGGUUAAAAAUAAAUCUCCCAUCUCUAGUCCUGGUUAAAAAUAAAGCUCCGAUUCCUAGUCAAAAAUAAAUCUCCCAUCCCUCCGUUCCCUAGUCCUAGUUAAAAAGAAAUCUCCCACCCCUCUGAUCCCUAGCCCUGGUUAAAAAUAAAUCUCCCAUCUCUAGUCCUGGUUAAAAGUAAAUCUCUGAUUCCUAGUCCUAGUUAAAAAUAAAGCUAUGAUCCCUAUCCCUGGUUAAAAAUAAAUCUCCCAUCCCUAGUCCUGGUUAAAAAUAAAUCUCCAAUCCCUAGUCCUGGUUAAAAAUAAAUCUGCGAUUCCUAGUCCUGGUAGAAUCAUCAUACUUUAGUCCACUUGGAAAAAGCUGUUUCAGUUCGGUUAUCUCUGUGUAAAGCUGGAAAUGGACUUUGGAGUUUAUUGACUUUUCGCAAACUCAGAAUUGUUAAAAUGGCCGCAGCGACACAGAAAGCUUUUUUUUGGCC